UAAUCUCAGCUGGUAAUUAUGAGUUGGGUUGUAUAUCAAGUUACUAGCCGAGAUUAUA
rnacentral:pre_miRNA from 1 species